AUUGAACGCUGGCGGCAGGCCUAACACAUGCAAGUCGAACGAGUGGCGGACGGGUGAAGAAUGUCUGGGAAACUUCCUGAUGGAGGGGGAUAACUACUGGAAACGGUAGCUAAUACCGCAUACUAUUAGAAGCGCCCAGAUGGGAUUAGCCAGUUGGUGGGGGAAAGGCUCACCAAGGCGAAGGUCCCUAGCGGGUCUGAGAGGAUGACCAGCCACACUGGAACUGAGACACGGUCCAGACUCCUACGGGAGGCAGCAGUGGGGAAUUUUGCACAAUGGGCGCAAGCCUGAUGCAGCCAUGCCGCGUGUAUGAAGAAGGCCUUCGGGUUGUAAAGUACUUUCAGCGGGGAGGCGUUACCCGAAGAAGAAGCACCGGCUAACUCCGUGCCAGCAGCCGCGGUAAUUC
rnacentral:rRNA from 1 species